AUCCGUCUGACGAGUUCUAAAUAGGACAAAAUGUGCAUCCUAGAU
rnacentral:hammerhead_ribozyme from 1 species